AGUGGGCCGCGGGGCGGAGGUAGCGGCUCCUGGCUUGGACUCCCGGCCCGGAGCUCGGCGGCGCGGGCCGCCGCAGGCAGCGAGGCCGGGCGGGCGGGCUGGCCGCGGCGCCUGGCGCCCCUCCGCCAGGCCCGCCAUGCAGGGCCCCGCCGGGAACGCGAGCCGCGGGCUCCCGGGCGGGCCGCCCUCCACCGUCGCGUCCGGGGCGGGCCGCUGCGAGAGCGGCGCGCUUAUGCACAGUUUCGGCAUCUUCCUGCAGGGGCUGCUCGGCGUCGUGGCCUUCAGCACGUUGAUGCUCAAGCGCUUCAGAGAACCAAAGCACGAGAGACGGCCGUGGAGGAUAUGGUUUUUAGACACUUCCAAACAAGCCAUAGGAAUGCUGUUCAUCCACUUUGCAAAUGUGUACCUAGCAGAUCUCACUGAAGAGGACCCUUGUUCACUGUACCUCAUCAACUUCCUCCUGGACGCCACCGUGGGCAUGCUGCUCAUCUACGCGGGGGUGCGCGCCGUCAGCGUCUUGGUGGAGUGGCAGCAGUGGGAGUCCCUGCGAUUUGGCGAAUAUGGAGACCCUCUGCAGUGCGGAGCCUGGGUUGGGCAGUGUGCUCUUUACAUCGUGAUCAUGAUUUUUGAAAAGUCUGUCGUCUUCAUCGUCCUCCUCAUACUUCAGUGGAAAAAGGUGGCCCUAUUGAAUCCCAUUGAAAACCCAGACCUGAAACUGGCCAUCGUCAUGCUGAUCGUCCCCUUCUUUGUCAAUGCUUUGAUGUUUUGGGUAGUCGACAAUUUCCUCAUGAGAAAGGGGAGGACGAAAGCUAAACUAGAAGAAAGGGGAGCCAACCAGGACUCGAGGAACGGGAGCAAGGUCCGCUAUCGAAGGGCUGCGUCCCACGAGGAGUCAGAGUCUGAGGGCACCUUCCAGGACCUGGGACGGCCUGUGUCCAGAUUGGGCUUCUUUGCCAGGAUGACCUUAGGGUGGGGGUCCUUGCCGAGUUUGCUCUGACCGGGGUUCCGUCCCAGCUGGAGGUUGGCUGCAGAAGCGAGGGGCGGCCUUGUCCGCUCGGCGCUGGCUUCGGGAGCCCGUGAAUACACCGGGAAUCCUGAUCUCCGCCGACGAUGAGAUGGAGGAGUCUGACGUGGAGGAGGACCUGCGCCGACUGACCCCCCUGAAGCCUGCGAAGAAAAAGAAGCACCGCUUCGGGCUGCCUGUCUGACGCGCUCCUGUGCUGGGGUCAGGUGUGGGGGCCCCGCCAGGUCAGCAGGCGGUCGCUCCGCAGUGCCCUUCCUUCCCUCCUCUCUGCCCCUCCUCUUCUACCUCCAGUCCUCUCGCUGUCUCCGCCCGCUCCCAGACUGCUGUCACUUGCCAGAGGGAGGCCGGGCCAGCGCCGAGGGGCUCCAGGCAGCCGGAGGUCCCCACUCAGUUGCACUACAAACACUGACCAAAUAUGCAAGCGAGGCAUUUUGUGUGUCUGUCAUUGUCCCAAACGAUGUUGCGAGGGACCCCGAAGCCCCGUCCUGUGUCUGGCUGGGUGGUCUUGAGGAGGAAAACUGACGCGCACACAGACUGGGUAGAGCCUUUCCCCAAGGCUCUGGGAGUGUGAGGACGUAACACGUUUUGGGCUAAAAGUCACUCAUUGACCAAGUUGGAACCGCAAUGCUUUCUUACUCCAAAUGGCUUUGUAACUACUGAUUUCUAAAGCCAGUUUUAUGAGCUGUCACAGUGUUAAUGUUUUUUGAGUAUGUGUUUAUUUCCUAUGGGACUAAUGAGCAAAACAUAGAUUUUUAAGUCUUCCGUAUGCUGUUGACUUUUAUAUUUUUAAGUUAUAUUUUCAUACUAUUGUAUUUAAAAACUCUUUUUAAUCCCCAAAGAAAUGGGUUUGUCUGCCUUUCGUGGGAUGUGAACUGGCGGGAAGAAGUCGGGAGUUUUUGUAUUCAGGAUAUUUUUAGGUAAUCUGUGAUGAGAUGAGGUGAGUGGUCCCGGCAGGAAGGGAGAGGAGCCCUUGUCUGAAAGGGACGAACCCAGUGGCUCUGUAAAGGCCAGGCCUGAGCGGGGAGGCAGCUGGUCUGAAGGCCAGUCUGAGGCCGGGGGCACGUGGGUCCAGCCGCUUGGCUUUCUGCUGCCAGUUUAGAGGUCUUAGUUAAACGUGGCCAAGAGCAGAGCCUAGAGGUCUGUGUCUAGAGCAGCUGAGACCAUAGAAGCCAGCCCUGUGUUCCCUGCCUCCAGUGCAAGGUGGAGCCUUUGGAACCAGCUGCUGGACCAGCCCCAGGAAUUCCUCCCGGGCCGCCGUCUGUUUGUUGUCUUGGUGUUGUCCCCCUGUUUUGCACAACAGUCUGAGGAACGCCUGCCCGACCCGGCCAUCCUGUUUUUCACGGCCUCAAAGCAGCAGGGCAGCCGGAGACGGGGCGGGUCGAGGUGCGAGAGCUGGCUGUCUGCAUGCACGGGCAGGGGAGGUGCUUCGAAGCCCGGGUCCCCUCCCCGGGGAGUGGCCCUCACUCCUCAGUAGGGCCCCAGGCCCCUGUAGCUUUGGGAGUCUGCUGACCACAGCGGAGUGGGUUGGCCUGAGCGCUCGCCCUGCUGUGGGAGCAGCAUGGUGGGGCAGCCCGUGUUUUGUCGUGUUUGGGGAGCAAAGUGGUGGCUAGUGAGGGGUGGUUUUUCCUGUAUCCUGAAUUUCAAUAAGGGCUGUAGUCUCUGAGCCACGGUCAUAGAGCCAGCUGACCAGGGGAUGGGUGUCUAAUCGCAGAGAGCCUUGUGGUGUGUGGGCCUGGAGAGCGUGGCCUCGCAGGCUUGGCCUUUCUUUCCCUUCCUGUGUGUGUGUGUGUGUGUGCGUGUGCACGUGCAUGUAUACACACACACACACAGAGUUUGUAUUCCCUGGAGUGUUUCCUGCAGUCACUGGGGGUUUUUCUGUGGUGCAUUGUCCCAAGAGACCAGAUGCAGAGGGCCAUGGUCAGAACCUUCUCCUGAGCUGUCCUCCCUCUCUGGGAUGAGUCUCCUUACCACCUGCCCCGAGGUGCCUUACAAGGUACAGCUCUUUACCCGGCCCUAUGGCAAGUGUCACAGUGCUUGAGAAACCAUGGGACACCAACUGGAUAUUGUGUGCUAUCCAUCUGAUCUGUGCAGAUGUGGACUUGGCCACGGCACCCAUGAUGGAAGCUUGUAAGUCAGGGUCAUGAACAAGUUUCUGGUACCUAAUGGAAAUAACCUGAUGAGGUAGAACUCUCAUGUCUGAAUGGAAGGAAUCAUUGUUAGCCUUAUUUCCGUUUGCUGUCAGUGGGGUGUUGACAAUGGCAAGGGGGGGAUGUUGGUGAGAUCUCAGGCGGCAGUGGCUUCUUGGUCUUCUCAGAAGACCUUCGAGGUAAAGGCCUGUGGCCCAUCAGUUAACCCUCAGGCACGCUGGUGGCCUCCUGCCUCAAGCUUUAACUCAUGCCCCUUCCUGGCAACAGAGAGUCCUAGGCGACUGUUGACUGUCAUGCCUUUAAAGGGAAAACCUGUAAAGGCUCAAAUCCUAGGCACUCUAGUCCUGUAGCCUGCAGCCCAGAGUCCCCAUCGGAAGGCGCCCAGGAGCCCACUGUGCCGUCCAGAAAACAACUCACUGGCCUUUCUGCAGCCAAGCCAACAUAGAAGGCUCUGGGAACUUCUCAUUGGCCAAAGCAGCCACCUUAUAGGGUGCAGGGCUGGCUUUUAGAAGUUGCACACCCUUCCGACCAGGAGUGGAGAGCUCUCUGUUUUACCCUGUGAAACACUGGCAGCUCUGAAGGGCUUUGCUCUGGGUGAGGGACUUCCGGUCCAACGGCCGUCAGCACCUUGAGCUCCUGGCCCAGUGGGUGGGUGGGUCUCAUUUGAUCUCUCUUUACAUGAUGUUUAUUAGAACUCAGAACUGUCUGAGCAAACCAUGGCCUAUUUCCACUGCCCUUCCGGUGGGGGUGUUUCAUCAGUGGUGGUAAGAUUCACAGAAACACAUUUUUGAAAUGAAAGGGAAGACGAUGUACUUACAUUGUAAAAUGGUUUACAAUAAAGUUUCACAUCUUAAUACAGUUUUUAAAAAAAAAAAAAAAGAAAC